rnacentral:rRNA from 1 species
UACGUAGGGUGCGAGCGUUAAUCGGAAUUACUGGGCGUAAAGCGUGCGCAGGCGGUUUUGUAAGCCAGAUGUGAAAUCCCCGGGCUUAACCUGGGAAUGGCAUUUGGGACUGCAAGGCUCGAGUGCGGCAGAGGAGACUGGAAUUCCUGGUGUAGCAGUGAAAUGCGUAGAUAUCGGGAGGAACACCUAUGGCGAAGGCAGCUCGCUGGGACGUUACUGACGCUGAGACGCGAAAGCGUGGGGAGCAAACAGG